rnacentral:misc_RNA from 1 species
AUAUACAUUUUUUGGAAUUAUUAUUUUAUCCACAUCCACAUUUUGGUAUCCUCUCUUCUUGAUUGAACUUUGGAAUUUACAAUGGUUUUGGCAAGAGGACCGGGGGCAGUGCUCGUAGACAAAACGAGUGCUUCGUUCUGGAACCUUCUGAGAUGAUUGUG